rnacentral:rRNA from 1 species
CCUACGGGUGACAGCAGUGGGGAAUAUUGGGCAAUGGAGGCAACUCUUACCCAGCAAUGCCGCGUGAGCGAUGAAGGCCUUCUGGUCGUAAAGCUCUGUCCUCAAGGAAGAUAAUGACGGUACUUGAGGAGGAAGCCCCGGCUAACUACGUGCCAGCAGCCGCGGUAAUACGUAGGGGGCUAGCGUUAUCCGGAAUUACUGGGCGUAAAGGGUGCGUAGGUGGUUUCUUAAGUCAGAGGUGAAAGGCUACGGCUCAACCGUAGUAAGCCUUUGAAACUGGGGAACUUGAGUGCAGGAGAGGAGAGUGGAAUUCCUAGUGUAGCGGUGAAAUGCGUAGAUAUUAGGAGGAACACCAGUUGCGAAGGCGGCUCUCUGGACUGUAACUGACACUGAGGCACGAAAGCGUGGGGAGCAAACAGGAUUAGAUACCCCUGUAGUC